CACGAAAAGGAUUGACAGAUUGAUAGCUCCUUCUCGAUUCUGUGGGUGAUGAUGCAUGGCCGUUCUUAGUUGAUGGAGCGAUUUGUCUGGUUAAUUCAGAUAACGAACGACACUCUGACAUGCUAACUAGUUAAGCAACCCCCGAACCCUCCUGGCCCUAGCUAAAAUGGCCAUCUAUAAAACCAGGGUGAGGAGGUUGGCCGAUGGAGUCUC
rnacentral:ncRNA from 1 species